CUACUAAUUUUUUUUUUUAUUAAGACGUAACAUGGGCGUUGUUGGAAAGGGACUAAGGGCAAAUAGUAUCCACUUUUAAAAUGAUUAAUGUAUCUUUACAGUGCAUGUGCAUUCUUUUUAAAUUAAUGCGACUACGAGAUGAAGCAAUGUGAUUAAUCUAAAAUGAAUCAUUAAACCUCAACAUGGAUUGCGAACUCUUGAGAAACCUCACAAAACAAAUAUCAAUUAAAAAAUAGGAAAACAGCGAUCCUCGUAGGUAUACAAAUCCGUGACGAUCGUUUGAAGAUUUAAGUGUUCUACCGACUUGACCAUCUCGGUCUCAUGUCUGUAUAUAAAGAUGAUGAGUAGCUUGAAUUAAUGUAAUGAGUGAAAUUAACAUAACGUACAAAUCAAUAAUAUUAAAGCAAUAUUAGCCUUUAUUCGUGGUUAAUUAGCUAUUAGUUAUCUUCAAUUAGUAUGUUUUAUUCUCGUAUUUACAUAAUAAAUGCCCCAUAUCUAACAAGAACCUUAUCAAAAUCGAAUCUAUAUAUUUGUUAUUACAUAAUAUACUAGAUGGUGGAACAUUAUGUAAGCACGUAAAGUAUAACCCACCGACCGAAAAAACAUAAAUUUUAUGUAUUAUUGUGUUUCGGCUUGAGGAAGUUAUUACAGGCGAAAGAUGUGUUCCCCUGGUUAGCAGCUUAAUGUCUUUUAAACCACAAACACUAUUAGGAACUAUUUCUUUAAUACUAUAUAAAUAUAUUUAUAUUAAAAAUAGUGUGCCGUAGUUCAGUUUUAUACACAUGUUGACAGUUUUUUUGUAUAUAAUAAUAAUAUCUUGAAGUACUAUUCUGUGAGAAAUCAAAUCGUAUCUCACUCGUAAAAUAUUGGUAAUCAACGGUGAUACGCUAUUUUGACGUGUGUAUCCUGUUGAUGUUAUCUGUGCUAUCCAUAUCUAUAAUAAUAUAAAGUGAUAAAAUUUGUUUAUUUGUAUCUAGGGACUAAAUCGUCGGAACUAAUGAUUCCAUUUUUAAAUUUCGUCUCCCUUCUAAUUAUAGAAAACGUCGCAUAUCACUUCCUGACAUUUCAAGGUCAUAUUUGUUUGUGUGAGUUUCAGUCUGUUCUUACAGAAUAGUUCGACUGUUCUGUUAUAUGCCUUAAUAAAGUACCUAAUACUAGAAUAUAUUUUUAUUCUUAAUUUUGAUAUAGCGAAAUUGUUAAUGAAGGUAACCUUAUGAUAAACAAAUGCGUGAUGAUUUGUUGUAUGAAAAUAAUUAAUGUUAUCUAUUGAUAUAAGGAAAUAAAUAUUUUUG